UAAAGUCAAAAAACAUAGUACUGAGACUUUUUGAGAAUAUGCCUAAAGGUGGAGACGUCUGGCAGCGCAAGUCAUUCCAUCAAUAACAGAAACUGAAAUGGUGAUGACUUUCAUAGACAUUCAACAGGCACCUUACUAUGAAAGGAUCCUCGCAGGCAUAAGAAUGUCAUUCUCGGAGAUGAUCACAAAUGGCAAAAUGGUCGAG
rnacentral:lncRNA from 1 species